UACGUAGGUGGCAAGCGUUGUCCGGAUUUACUGGGCGUAAAGGGUGCGUAGGCGGGUCUUUAAGUCAGGGGUGAAAUCCUGGAGCUCAACUCCAGAACUGCCUUUGAUACUGAAGAUCUUGAGUGCGGGAGAGGUGAGUGGAACUGCGAGUGUAGAGGUGAAAUUCGUAGAUAUUCGCAAGAACACCAGUGGCGAAGGCGGCUCACUGGCCCGAUACUGACGCUGAGGCACGAAAGCGUGGGGAGCAAACAGG
rnacentral:rRNA from 1 species